rnacentral:rRNA from 1 species
CCCCUUAUGGGUAGGGCUUCACACGUCAUACAAUGGUCGGUACAGAGGGUUGCCAAGCCGCGAGGCGGAGCCAAUCCCACAAAGCCGAUCGUAGUCCGGAUUGUUCUCUGCAACUCGAGAGCAUGAAGUCGGAAUCGCUAGUAAUCGCAGGUCAGCAUACUGCGGUGAAUACGUUCCCGGGUCUU